rnacentral:rRNA from 1 species
CCCCUAGAUGUCCUGUGCCGCACGCGCAAUACAAUGUAAAGUUCAGAAAGCAUAUCCUGUUCCGGAAGGCAAUGGGUAAUCUUUUCAAUAUUUUACGUGUUAGGGAUCGAUCUUUGCAAUUAUAGAUCUUGAACGAGGAAUACCUAGUAAGUGCAGCUCAUCAGGCUGUACUGAUUACGUCCCUGCCCUUUGUACACACCGCCCGUCGCUCCUACCGAUUUCGAGUGGUCCGGUGAAUCUUUUGGAAUUAGAGUGCAAACUCAAACUAAGAUCGAUAAACCUUAUCACUUAGAGGAAGGAGAAGUCGUAACA